rnacentral:rRNA from 1 species
CACGUAGGGCGCAAGCGUUACUCGGAAUUACUGGGCGUAAAGCGUGCGUAGGUGGUUUGUUAAGUCUGCUGUGAAAGCCCCGGGCUCAACCUGGGAAUGGCAGUGGAUACUGGCAAGCUAGAGUGCGGUAGAGGGUAGUGGAAUUCCCGGUGUAGCGGUGAAAUGCGUAGAGAUCGGGAGGAACACCAGUGGCGAAGGCGGCUACCUGGACCAGCACUGACACUGAGGCACGAAAGCGUGGGGAGCAAACAGG